GAUGAACGCUGGCGGCGUGCCUAAUACAUGCAAGUCGAGCGAACAGACGAGGAGCUUGCUCCUCUGACGUUAGCGGCGGACGGGUGAGUAACACGUGGAUAACCUACCUAUAAGACUGGGAUAACUUCGGGAAACCGGAGCUAAUACCGGAUAAUAUAUUGAACCGCAUGGUUCAAUAGUGAAAGACGGUUUUGCUGUUACAUAUAGAUGGAUCCGCGCCGCAUUAGCUAGUUGGUCAGGUAACGGCUUACCAAGGGAACGAUGCGUAGCCGACCUGAGAGGGUGAUCGGCCACACUGGAACUGAGACACGGUCCAGACUCCUACGGGAGGCAGCAGUAGGGAAUCUUCCGCAAUGAGCGAAAGCCUGACGGAGCAACGCCGCGUGAGUAAUGAAGGUCUUCGGAUCGUAAAACUCUGUUAUUAGGGAAGAACAAAUGUGUAAGUAACUAUGCACGUCUUGACGGUACCUAAUCAGAAAGCCACGGCUAACUACGUG
rnacentral:rRNA from 1 species